rnacentral:rRNA from 1 species
GUGGGGAAUUUUGGACAAUGGGCGAAAGCCUGAUCCAGCCAUGCCGCGUGCAGGAUGAAGGCCUUCGGGUUGUAAACUGCUUUUGUACGGAACGAAAAGACUCCUUCUAAUAAAGGGGGUCCAUGACGGUACCGUAAGAAUAAGCACCGGCUAACUACGUGCCAGCAGCCGCGGUAAUACGUAGGGUGCAAGCGUUAAUCGGAAUUACUGGGCGUAAAGCGUGCGCAGGCGGUUAUAUAAGACAGAUGUGAAAUCCCCGGGCUCAACCUGGGAACUGCAUUUGUGACUGUAUAGCUAGAGUACGGUAGAGGGGGAUGGAAUUCCGCGUGUAGCAGUGAAAUGCGUAGAUAUGCGGAGGAACACCGAUGGCGAAGGCAAUCCCCUGGACCUGUACUGACGCUCAUGCACGAAAGCGUUGGGAGCAAACAGGAUUAGAUACCCUGGUAGUCC